UACAGAGGUCUCAAGCGUUGUUCGGAUUUAUUGGGCGUAAAGAGCGUGUAGGCGGCCAGGUAGGUCUGGUGUGAAAACUCGAGGCUUAACCUCGAGAUGUCAUCGGAAACCAUCUGGCUAGAGUCCGGAAGAGGAAAGUGGAAUUCCUGGUGUAGCGGUGAAAUGCGCAGAUAUCAGGAAGAACACCAAUGGCGAAAGCAGCUUUCUGGGACGGUACUGACGCUGAGACGCGAAAGCGUGGGGAGCGAACAGG
rnacentral:rRNA from 1 species